GCUGGCAGGGACACAACCGGCACAGACUGGAGUGUUUCAGACAUCUCUGGGCAAGUAUCUCUUUGAUCAGCUCACUCUCAAGCACGACUAUGAGGCGUCUGUGCCUUCC
ensembl:miRNA predicted gene, 25992